rnacentral:rRNA from 1 species
GAUGAACGCUAGCUACAGGCUUAACACAUGCAAGUCGAGGGUCCGGCGCACGGGUGAGUAACACGUAUCCAACCUGCCCUUUACUCGGCGAUAGCCUUUCGAAAGAAAGAUUAAUACCCGAUAUAAAGGAUGGGGCUGCGUUCAAUUAGGUUGUUGGUGGGGUAACGGCUCACCAAGCCUUCGAUGGAUAGGGGUGCUGAGAGGAAGGUCCCCGACAUUGGAACUGGGACAAGGUCCAAACGCCUACGGGAGGCAGCAGUGAGGAAUAUUGGGCAAUGGGCGCUAGCCUGAACCAGCCAAGUAGCGUGAAGGAUGAAGGCUUAUGGGUCGUAAACUUCGUUUAUAUAAGAAUAUGUAUUAUAUAAAUAAGGAUCGGCUAACUCCGUGCCAGCAGCCGCGGUAAUAC